CAGGCCCACUUCCGCUAUGCUUUUCUCCAAGUCCCAAACCCAGUCUCACCUCACUCCGUCCGUCCGUCCGUCCGGCGUCGUCUUCCUCCGCCAGCGCCGCCGCUCCAUCUGCGAUUCCUCAUCGGCGUCGCCGUUCUUAGUUGCUCCCGUCAUCUUGCCACAUGCUGGAUUAAUCCCCAUUGCUUCUUCUCGUCGGCGCGGUGCUCGCAAUCGACGGAGUCGGCAGUCUAGCAACGACGCGUUCCUGGCCGGCACCGCCAGUCAACCAGAUGUUCAUUUCGUACCUUUUGCUGUGGGUAACUUCGAAGCUUCAGCUAUUUGCAGUGAGGGAUUAUAAGAGGACUGAUGCAUUCCCACAGCAGCUCUGCUCAUCAACCUGAUGACGAUUUUUUUAGAUAUCCAGUUUAUUUUCCUGGUUUCUUGCUCUUCCAUGAUUCCAUCUUAGCUAUCGAGUCUGAAGUCACACUUGCAGUCUGAUUUUAUAGACAUUCUCCUAGUUGAUACACCAUCUUCAGGUUCCUGCUCAGGCAAUACGCUUUGGCGAAUGUGGCGUGAUUACUGCAGAGUACAGAGGCUGCAUGCUGCGAUUGGCGUCAACUGCUUCAUAGAAAUCAGACUCUUCCCAACUGCACAUCAUAGGGUGCGUUGACCCAGUCUGGUCUGCAAUCUUUGUCGUGCUUCCGAGGUAUCUGGCAUCGGUUGUGAUGCAGCCUUGGUGCUUUGUGUCCUGCCUCUUCGCCACUAAUGGCUUGAGUUUGGACAAGGCGAACUGUGUGCCAUUGUAGACUUGUAGUCAUGGUGGGCGUGGUUUCUAACCUCUUGGUUUAGCAUUAUAUGCUAAAAGGCGUCGUGUCCCCUCUUCUUCUAUGCUAUUGACAUACCUCUCCGUGGUGGAUUGUUGAAAAAAAAUGUUUAUUGACAUACAAGCUAAAAUGAAAUUUGAUCGUUUUUUUUCUAGAAAAAAAGCUAAUUUGAUCCGUGGACAGAACGCGAUUGCUGCUGGUGUUGUCUCUGUAAAAAUCUUGAUACAGGGUUUUCAAACUUUUUUGAGUUCACCCAUCUGGGUGUUCUUGUUACUGAGUUCAGUCACCUUUUCUCCCCACCACUUUGCACAGUUCAGCAGAGGAUGAGCUGCACCAUUAUUAAUGAACUCUGCAAGAGUCCAUUCUUUUAGGUAAUAAUGUUUUUUUAGUGUACUAUUAUUUUGUGAUCAGGUAUAAGUUUGCCUCCUUUGUUUAAAAGUAUACUUUGCAGCUAAGCCGAAAGCCUAUCAAUUAAUAUAUAAAAACCUCAACUUGGCAGAAUAUUGUCAGUAGAUGCCAAGAUCAGAAAGCACAAUAAUAAAGAAUCAGAAACUGAAGAAGACAAAAACAGCAUUAAUAUCCUAGAGUUGUAAAACGGAUGAGAAUCUUGUGGAUUACAUAGUGUACUCCUUGACAAGAAGUCCUCCCUCUUUCCUCACUCUGUGCCAUGGGGAAACUUCAUCUGCUAGCUCUGCUUCUUCCUGUACUUCUUGGGUUAUCUCUGUUGUACAUCUGUGAGAUACUAUGGCUGAGGCCAGAGAGGAUAAGAAAGAAACUAAGGAAGCAAGGUGUGAGGGGUCCCAGGCCUACUUUGCUCUAUGGCAACACCCAGGAGAUAAAGAGGAUCCGACAAGAGGCAUUGCCUGCGCAGAAGCAAGACACCAGUAACUACAUGUCCACCCUCUUCCCCCACUUCAUGAUCUGGAGGGAAACAUAUGGGUCGGUAUUCCUCUACUCAACAGGAGCGGUGGAGGUUCUGUAUGUUUCUGACCCUGGCAUGGUCAAGGACAUGAGCCACUGCACAUCAUUUGAGCUCGGGAAGCCUAUUUUUAUACAGAAAUCUCGCAAAGCGCUCUUCGGUGAAGGCAUCUUGGUGGCAAAUGGCGAUAUAUGGGCCUAUCAGAGAAAGAACAUUGCACAAGAGUUCUUCAUGGAGAAGAUUAAGGUCAUGAUAGAACUAAUAGUGGAGGCUUCUGCCCCACUGCUAGAAGUAUGGGAUAGUAUGCUUGACGACACGGGAGGGAGUAGAGAGAUAGAUGUGGAUGGUUAUUUGCGGAGUUUUUCGGCGGAUGUAAUAGCCAGGGCAUGUUUUGGCAGCGAUUUCGCAACAGGGGAAGAAAUAUUCUACAAGCUCAGGCAGCUUCAGAAGGCGAUUUCUCAGCAAGAUGCACUUGUUGGAUUAUCCACAGUGUGGAAGAGUUUGCCGACCAAGGCCAAUCGAGAGAUACAAAAGCUGGAGCAAGAAGUUCGGUUACUCAUCCUCAAUGUCACAAAGGAACACAGCCGUGGCAGCAGCAACGAAGACGACGAUUGCAUAAAGACUAAACACAAUGGCCUUCUGCGCUCGAUUGUCAACAGUGCUCGCCAUUGUCCGGCCAGCUACCGUGGUAGCGCCGAGGACUACAUCGUUGACAACUGCAAGAGCAUCUACUUUGCUGGGCACGAGACUACGGCCGUCGCCGUCACCUGGUGCCUGAUGUUGCUGGCCACACACCCGGCGUGGCAGGACCGUGCCCGUGCCGAGGCUCUAGAGGUGUGCCGUGGAGGCACAGAGCUCGACGUCGACGUCCUCCGGCGACUGAAAACGAUCACCAUGGUGAUCCAGGAGACUCUCCGGCUGUACCCUCCGGGGUCAUUGAUUAUGCGCGAAGCGCUGAAGGACUUCAAGCUCGGUGGGCUCGACAUCCCGCGUGGAACGAUCAUUCAGACAGCCAUCCCGAUGCUGCACCUCGACAAGGAUGUUUGGGGCCAGGAUGCCGGCGAGUUCCAGCCUGAUCGGUUUGCGAAUGGCGCCGCCGCGGCGUGCGAGCCGUCACACAUGUACCUGCCGUUCGGGCACGGACCCAGAAUUUGUGCUGGGCAGAACCUGGCGAUGAUGGAGCUGAAGGUGGUGCUCGUGCGCCUGCUGACCAAGUUCUCCUUCUCACGGUCGCCGGGGUACCGGCACGCGCCGCUGUUCCGGCUCACCAUCGAGCCUGGGUUCGGCAUGCCUCUUGUCGUCACGAAGCUUCCAUGAUCUCUCUCACUGCCAUCUGUAGCAAGAAGGUGCCGCACCUGAUGAAAACAGUGACGCCGCCACUCCACUGUGUUUGUAAUCGGCAAAGCGUUGCUUUCGUCGGUACUUUGUGCGGUGCAAGAUUCAGUAAGGUCAGAAAACAUUGACAAAGCAAGAGGGGUUUCCUCCGGCUCCAUUUUAAUUAUAAAACGUAGCCGACAACAAUUGUAGCGCUCAGGUCGGACCCAGAGACCGAACCAAGGCCAGGUUCAAAUUAUCGGUACUGAUUGUGCCGACUCGCAAGGAGCUUA